ncrna:unclassified sequences RAGATH-18 RNA
CUUGUGGAUCGUUAUACAAACGAAAGUAGUUUGAAAUAGAUUUAUUUCUAACGAAAUCGGACGAGAUGAAGCAAGAA